GGGGGGUACUUUACAUGCGAUUCGAGCGGCAGCACGGGUGCUUGCACCUGGUGGCGAGUGGCGAACGGGUGAGUAAUACAUCGGAACAUGUCCUGUAGUGGGGGAUAGCCCGGCGAAAGCCGGAUUAAUACCGCAUACGAUCCACGGAUGAAAGCGGGGGACCUUCGGGCCUCGCGCUAUAGGGUUGGCCGAUGGCUGAUUAGCUAGUUGGUGGGGUAAAGGCCUACCAAGGCGACGAUCAGUAGCUGGUCUGAGAGGACGACCAGCCACACUGGGACUGAGACACGGCCCAGACUCCUACGGGAGGCAGCAGUGGGGAAUUUUGGACAAUGGGCGAAAGCCUGAUCCAGCAAUGCCGCGUGUGUGAAGAAGGCCUUCGGGUUGUAAAGCACUUUUGUCCGGAAAGAAAUCCUUGGCUCUAAUACAGUCGGGGGAUGACGGUACCGGAAGAAUAAGCACCGGCUAACUACGUGCCAGCAGCCGCGGUAAUACGUAGGGUGCGAGCGUUAAUCGGAAUUACUGGGCGUAAAGCGUGCGCAGGCGGUCUGUUAAGACAGAUGUGAAAUCCCCGGGCUCAACCUGGGAACUGCAUUUGUGACUGGCAGGCUAGAGUAUGGCAGAGGGGGGUAGAAUUCCACGUGUAGCAGUGAAAUGCGUAGAGAUGUGGAGGAAUACCGAUGGCGAAGGCAGCCCCCUGGGCCAAUACUGACGCUCAUGCACGAAAGCGUGGGGAGCAAACAGGAUUAGAUACCCUGGUAGUCCACGCCCUAAACGAUGUCAACUAGUUGUUGGGGAUUCAUUUCCUUAGUAACGUAGCUAACGCGUGAAGUUGACCGCCUGGGGAGUACGGUCGCAAGAUUAAAACUCAAAGGAAUUGACGGGGACCCGCACAAGCGGUGGAUGAUGUGGAUUAAUUCGAUGCAACGCGAAAAACCUUACCUACCCUUGACAUGGUCGGAAUCCUGAAGAGAUUCGGGAGUGCUCGAAAGAGAACCGGCGCACAGGUGCUGCAUGGCUGUCGUCAGCUCGUGUCGUGAGAUGUUGGGGUUAAGUCCCGCAACGAGCGCAACCCUUGUCCUUAGUUGCUACGCAAGAGCACUCUAAGGAGACUGCCGGUGACAACCGGAGGAAAGGGGGGGGAUGACGUCAAGUCCUCAUGGCCGCUUAUGGGUAAGGGCUUCCCACGUCCUACAAUGGUCGGAAACAAAAGGGUGGCCACCCCCCCGAGGGGGAGGUAAUCCCCAAAAACCGAUCGGAAUCCCGGAUGGCUCCUUGCACUCAAGGGGUGGAAGUUGGAUCCCUUGUAAUCCCGGAAACCAUGCCCCGGGGAAACAUUUCCCGGGUCUGGCACCCCCGCCCACCCCCCGGGGGGGGGGUUUUCUCAAAUGGUAUGCUACCCCCAGGGAGGGCACCGGGAUUAAUGGGGGUUAGAAAUUAAAAAGGAAAUGGGGAAGAUA
rnacentral:rRNA from 1 species